CCGGGUGCUGAGCUGUUCCCGCCUUUUGGGGGCGCGAGCGAGUCUUCGCUGAGGUCCCGUGAGGGGCUUGUCCAUGAGGGGGCAUCCCGUGAAGGGACCCGUGAGGAGCUGGUUGGAGCUGGGCUCCCCUCGUAGCUGUUGCAAGGCAGAGCCUGGUCGCUGGUGCUCCCAGAGCCAUCAGUCCCCACGCAGUGCCUCCAGGUAUUGCUGUGAUAUGCUCUUCUUCUGUGGCGUAAUGGAAAACUCUUUGGACAAGGAGGCACCUCCUUUCAGCUCCACAUUUGUAGGGUCAAAUGAAAUGUUGAG